CCUACGGGUGGCAGCAGUAGGGAAUAUUGCUCAAUGGGGGAAACCCUGAAGCAGCAACGCCGCGUGGAGGAUGAAGGUUUUCGGAUUGUAAACUCCUUUUGUUAGAGAAGAUAAUGACGGUAUCUAACGAAUAAGCACCGGCUAACUCCGUGCCAGCAGCCGCGGUAAUACGGAGGGUGCAAGCGUUACUCGGAAUCACUGGGCGUAACGAGCGCGUAGGCGGGGGAGCAAGUCAGAUGUGAAAUCCUAUGGCUUAACCAUAGAACUGCAUUUGAAACUGUUAUUCUAGAGUAUGGGAGAGGGAGGUGGAAUUCUUGGUGUAGGGGUAAAAUCCGUAGAGAUCAAGAGGAAGACUCAUUGCGAAGGCGGCUUACUGGACUGUAACUGACGUUGAGGCUCGAAAGCGUGGGGAGCAAACAGGAUUAGAUACCCGAGUAGUC
rnacentral:rRNA from 1 species